rnacentral:RNase_P_RNA from 1 species
AGUGGACCAGACGAUCGCGGGGCACCUUGCGUGCCAUGAGGAAAGUCCGGGCUCCACAGGGCAGGAUGCUGGCUAACGGCCAGGCAGGGAAACCUGACGGAAAGCGCCGCAGAAAAGAAGACUCCCACCUACCGCAAGGUAAAGGGAAAAGCUGAAACGGUGGUGUAAGAGACCACCAGCGUCGUGGCGACACGGCGGCUUGGCAAGCCCCAUCCGGAGCAAACGCAAAUAGGAGCGCUAUGGUGUGGCCCGCACUGCGCUCGGGUUGCGCGCUAGAGGGCGUCGGCAACGACGUCAGUAGAUAAAUGAUCGUCCUCGACAGAACCCGGCUUAUCGGCCCGCUUC